AGUGAACGCUGGCGGUAGGCCUAACACAUGCAAGUCGAACGGCAGCACAGUAAGAGCUUGCUCUUACGGGUGGCGAGUGGCGGACGGGUGAGGAAUACAUCGGAAUCUACUUUUUCGUGGGGAAUAACGUAGGGAAACUUACGCUAAUACCGCAUACGACCUACGGGUGAAAGCAGGGGAUCUUCGGACCUUGCGCGAUUGAAUGAGCCGAUGUCGGAUUAGCUAGUUGGCGGGGUAAAGGCCCACCAAGGCGACGAUCCGUAGCUGGUCUGAGGGGAUGAUCAGCCACACUGGAACUGAGACACGGUCCAGACUCCUACGGGAGGCAGCAGUGGGGAAUAUUGGACAAUGGGCGCAAGCCUGAUCCAGCCAUACCGCGUGGGUGAAGAAGGCCUUCGGGUUGUAAAGCCCUUUUGUUGGGAAAGAAAAGCAGCAGGUUAAUACCCCGCUGUUCUGACGGUACCCAAAGAAUAAGCACCGGCUAACUUCGUG
rnacentral:rRNA from 1 species